AAACCAUGAUGUGGGCACCUCCUCAAGAGAUCUCUGAUUCGUUUCUACAUUUCAAACAAAGAUUCAGACUCAUUGCUAAAAAUUAGAAAUCUCAGUCAUAAGCUU